rnacentral:rRNA from 1 species
UACGUAGGGUGCAAGCGUUACUCGGAAUUACUGGGCGUAAAGCGUACGCAGGCGGCUUUGCAAGACAGGUGUGAAAUCCCCGGGCCUAACCUGGGAACUGCAUUUGUGACUGCAUGGCUAGAGUUUGUCAGAGGGGGGUGGAAUUCCACGUGUAGCAGUGAAAUGCGUAGAUAUGUGGAGGAACACCGAUGGCGAAGGCAGCCCCCUGGGAUGUGACUGACGCUCAUGUACGAAAGCGUGGGGAGCAAACAGG